rnacentral:rRNA from 1 species
GUGAGGAAUAUUGGUCAAUGGCCGAGAGGCUGAACCAGCCAAGUAGCGUGCAGGAUGACGGCCCUCGUGGUUGUAAACUGCUUUUAGUCGGGAAUAAAAGGGGGUUCGUGAACCCCGUAUUGUAUGUACCGUCAGAAAAAGGACCGGCUAAUUCCGUGCCAGCAGCCGCGGUAAUACGGAAGGUCCGGGCGUUAUCCGGAUUUAUUGGGUUUAAAGGGAGCGUAGGCGGGCCGUUAAGUCAGUUGUGAAAGUUCGGGGCUCAACCCCGGAAUUGCAGUUGAAACUGCCGGUCUUGAGUACACGCAGGGAAGCCUGAAUUCAUGGUGUAGCGGUGAAAUGCUUAGAUAUCAUGAAGACGACCGAUCGCGAAGGCAGGUUUCCGGAGUGUAACUGACGCUGAGGCUCGAAAGUGCGGGUAUCAAACAGGAUUAGAAACCCCAGUAGUCC